GGAGUUAUUAAAAAUUUUAAUUUUUAACUUCACGAAAGUAGUUGAGCUAAAUAAUUAUAAUUAUUAGAUUUAUUAUAUGUAACAUAAUAAAAAUAAAUAAUUAUUUAGGGGUGAUAGGCUUUACAAAACUAUAGAUAUCUUGAUUCUUUUUAAAAACAUUUAGUGUAAUUUCAACUAAAAAAUGAUAAGGUUUUUUAGUAGCAUAAAUAUAUUUUAUAAUUUAAAUCUUAACCUAAUCGUUAGAUUUAAAAUGUAAAUAAUUAUUUAUUUAUACAAAUAUUAUGGAUAGUAGAAAGAAAUAAUUUAACUAUUUAAUAAUUUAUAAUGUAACUAUAAGUAAUAUAACUAAAUAUGAAAAAUGAACUCGGCAAAUUAGCCUUUCAACUGUUUACCAAAAACAUAGCUAUGUGUAAUUAUUCAUAGUAAUUUCUGCUCAAUGAAAUUUAAAUAGCCGCAGUACCCUGACUGUGCAAAGGUAGCGAAAUAAUUUGGCUUAUAAUUGAAGCCCUGUAUGAAUGAAAAUUUGGAGGGCGUCUUUAUUUUUUAUAGGUUUUGAAAUUACUUAUUAAGUGCAAAUUCUUAUAUUUAAAUGAUAGACGAGAAGACCCUAGAAAUUUUUAUAAAUUGUAUAUAAUUUUUUUUGUUGGGGCAACAAGGUAACACAAAAUUUACCUUAGAUAACAAGAACAUUUAUGUGAUAGAAUAAAUUACUCUAGGGAUAACAGCGUAAUUUAUGAAAGUUUGCGACCUCGAUGUUGGACUAGGGAACCAUUGCUUAGAAGGCAUAGUGUAAAGCUCUGUUCGAGCUC
rnacentral:rRNA from 1 species